CAGCCGCCGGCCAGCAGCAGCCAUGCCGCCCAAGUUGGACCCCUCGCAGGUGGUCGAGGUAUUCGUCCGCGUGACGGGCGGCUAGGUCGGCGCGGCGUCGUCGCUGGCGCCCAAGAUCGGCCCGCUCGGCCUCUCCCCGAAGAAGAUCGGCGAGGACAUCGCCAAGGAGACCGCCAGGGACUGGAAGGGCCUGCGCGUCACCGUGAAGCUCACGGUGCAGAACCGGCAGGCCAAGGUCUCCGUCGUCCCCUCCGCCGCCGCCCUCGUCAUCAAGGCGCUCAAGGAGCCCGAGCGGGACCGGAAGAAGGUCAAGAACAUCCGGCACAGCGGCAACGUCGCCCUCGACGACGUCGUCGAGAUCGCCAGGACCAUGCGCCCCAGAUCCAUGGCCAAGGAGAUGGCCGGCACCGUCAAGGAGAUCCUCGGCACCUGCGUCAGCGUCGGGUGCACCGUCGACGGCAAGGACCCCAAGGACCUGCAGCAGGAGAUCGAUGAUGGUGAGGUCGAGAUCCCCUCCGCUUAAAGGCAAUCCUCGCGGCGGCGCGGACUACGACGGUGGCUGACUCGUAGCGAGACCUUCUCCCUCCUCCCCCGCCUGACGCCCGGCGACCACUACUCACUCGCUGCUCUGGAAGUCUGGCAGGGGUUUCGCCCGGUUCGACAACAUCAGGGACGACAGCGGCGCCAUGCCGCUACACCUCGCCGCCAUGCAAGGCCGCCCCGCCUACAUGCAGGUGCUACUAGAGAACGACGCCAUUGUCUCCGUUCUCACAGGCUCAUACAGGUUUAAAAUCUCUCCUGCGACAGCAACUGGGCACUAAACUCAAGCAAUCCCUCCAGAGCCUCAGCUCUCUGCUGGUUAGUGCCUUACUGGUGUCUACCACUGGCUAGGGACCGGUAAUAUCUAUGCUGUCUGACAAGUCAUCUGGCCACUCCCUUAAGGACCAAUUAACUCGCAUGGCUGAGAAUGACUAUCUACUUAGCGGUGGCCUUGAAGGUAUUGGUUCUACUGGAAAGAAGUGUGAAGUCGCUCGCCGAAGAAAUGGUUUAGAUACCAACAAGCCAAAAAAAGGGGCAACCUGAUACAACAGGUGGUGGGCCAACAGGAAGAGAGCUGAAUAUCGGACAAGCAUGUUUCCAUUCAGAACCGAGCAACGCUUCAAACCAGUUCAUCCUAGCCCAAUUGAUGCAGGUGAAUUCAUUCUUAAGCAGGACAACAACUAUUACUAUACAUCCCUUGUUUAGUCUGCAAAGCUGGUACAAUGGCAGGUGCAACAUUUUGAGAUAAUUGGAUUGGACAAGCUUCUUGAUAAUAGUUCUGUAGAAUCAAUGAAUGAGGAACAUACAAUUGGUGAUUCAUUAGACGAGGCUGAGCAGGAGGAAUUGAACCAUGAGAUUGCUCUGGAGUCUACUGAAGACUGCACUGGCUCCUUGUGCAAAGCCACUGCUUUUCUAUUUCCCAAGACAGCUUUUGACUUCCUGACAAAUGUGGCUGCUAGUUUGUUUGGUAUUCAUGGUUCUCCAUCUCCAAGCUCAGUUUUGGUAGAUCCUCGAUAUGAAAUUGUGAAGAUGGCAGAAAUGCAGCCAUGUGCAGAAGAAACGCCAAAAGAAGAACAGAUAGUGAAGUUUGUGGCGCAGAUUGACAAGCCAAUUCUCUCUUCAGAGGAUGCCGUCUCAAAAAGAUUCGAUGUAGUCACUGACUGUUUGGAUCAUCAUUUUGUGAAGGAAAAUGGCCAUGAAAGUGUUACAAGAGGUUGGCUGAAGAAGGUGCGACUGGAAUGGAACAUCCUGCAAAAUGACCUACCAGAUGGUAUUCAUGUGAGAGUUUAUGAGGAAAGGAUGGAUCUUCUGAGGGCUUGCAUCGUUGGGGCACCUGGAACACCUUACCAUGACAAUCUUUUUUUCUUCGAUAUUUUCUUUCCUCCUGAUUACCCUCAUGAACCACCUUGACUGGAGCGGCAAGUGACUCGCGGCGGGCGGCGGGGACUCGCGGAUGGCGCCCGCGAAUCGCGGCGUUGGGCGGGCGGGCGGGCGGCGGUUGUUUGCGGCUGCGGGAUCCUCAGCGGUUGUGCGCGCGGGAGCCACGCGAGCUGGCGGCGGCGGCUGCGAGAUCCUCGGCGGUUGUGCGCGCGGGAGCCACGGGAGCGAGGGGAGAGCGGGCGGUUGUGCGCGCGGGAGCCACGCGAGCUGGCGGCGGUUGUUUGCGGCUGCGGGAUCCUCGGCGGUUGUGCGCGCGGGAGCCACGGGAGUGAGGGGAGAGCGGGGGCAGUCUACAUGUGAGUCUUAAUAGUUGUAGAAGACUUUGGAAAGUAGUGGAAUGUCACAUUCUAAAAAAAUAGCCUAUUCUAAUAGUAAGAUUCUAAUUCCUC